UACGAAGGGGGCUAGCGUUGCUCGGAAUCACUGGGCGUAAAGGGCGCGUAGGCGGCCAUUCAAGUCGGGGGUGAAAGCCUGUGGCUCAACCACAGAAUUGCCUUCGAUACUGUUUGGCUUGAGUUUGGUAGAGGUUGGUGGAACUGCGAGUGUAGAGGUGAAAUUCGUAGAUAUUCGCAAGAACACCAGUGGCGAAGGCGGCCAACUGGACCAAUACUGACGCGUGAGG
rnacentral:rRNA from 1 species